AUACAGAGGGUGCGAGCGUUAAUCGGAUGUACUGGGCGUAAAGCGUGCGUAGGCGGCUUUUUAAGUCGGAUGUGAAAUCCCUGAGCUUAACUUAGGAAUUGCAUUCGAUACUGGGAAGCUGGAGUAUGGGAGAGGAUGGUAGAAUUCCAGGUGUAGCGGUGAAAUGCGUAGAGAUCUGGAGGAAUACCGAUGGCGAAGGCAGCCAUCUGGCCUAAUACUGACGCUGAGGUACGAAAGCAUGGGGAGCAAACAGAAUUAGAUACCCUAGUAGUCC
rnacentral:rRNA from 1 species